CGAGCUAGGCGACCCGCGUUUCAUGGGAGCUUUUGACAGUUCAUGACCCGGUCGCCAUCUUUGAUUUUUCUAGCCCGGGUCAGGAAUCGUGACCCGACCAAAUAGUACGGGCUACGAAGUUCUAGCUCGAGUCACCCGGAAUCGGAGCGCUCCUAUUGGUUGAAAGUUUCGCGUCGUCUGCUCUGGUCUGCAGUCAAGUAAACAACACAACUAAAUGCAAAUAUGGAGGAUUAUUACGAAUAGGCCUACAAACAUGAGUAUGUUUUUGAAGGCAUAUUUUUAAAAUAAUUGAAAAGGAGGAAAUUUAGACAUUAUUAUCUGGCAGCUCGGACAUCUUCCAGUCCUAUCUGAAAGAAAACAUGGCCACAUCGAGAUGACAGCAGAAGUCACCACAGAGGGUCAUGUGUGGACUACUAAUGCAACAAAAGUGACAUUUAUUUGGGAUUUAAAGCUAACAGACCGUUGUGCAACCGGGUGAUAAUCUUUUAUUAAAGGAAGUUCUUAUGUAGCAAGCAUAAGUU
rnacentral:lncRNA from 1 species